GCGGAAGUGGCUCAAUGGUAGAGCGUCACCUUGCCAAGGUGAAUGUUGCGGGUUCGAGUCCCGUCUUUCGCUCCA
rnacentral:tRNA from 8 species